UGGCGGCUGAAUGCCAAUGAAGGGGGGAGGCUGGGGAGGGGGGGAGCAGGGCCCGGGCUAGAGCGAGGCUGUCCAAUGGGGCUGGGCGCCAUCCUUUUCCCUGCAAGGGGGGGAAGGACCCCAUUCCGGGCGAUCCGUCGAGGGUCACGGCUUGCUUUGGCCCCGCGGGAUCGUAGCACUGGGAUGUCAGCACGAAAGCUGGGUCGCUUUUCACCAGCUGCUGCCACUCUUUUCUUGCCAUAGCUUCUAUGAUGCCAGAGGUGUGGGCAUUUCCUCCAUUGUUCAGCCGCAUGUUAGUUGGCAGCAGAAUCCAUCGCCAGACCCCUCCGGAGACUCAUUAAAACCCAGAUAACUCUGAAGUCAAACACAAUGGCUUCUGGUUGAGUGGCUGUGCCAAUUUCACAGAUGUACGUGAGGAGGAACCGUUUGGCUCACUCAGUCACAGGCCACGUCUUGGAAAACGCUGCUGUGUGCUCGUCUGGACACUUUGGAAUGAGACUUUGCCUCUGGAUCUCCAGGGAUCUCUGAGCCAGAGAACUUUUAAAACCUCAUUGCAAACUUGGCUUGGUCAGGACAAGAAAAGCACGAGGGCACCCUGAAAGCUGAAUGUCUUGCAGUGCUAUGACUUUUCCAUCUUUAGCACUGCUGACCUUGACCAAAAUCACCACGAGCAUCUCUCCCACGAGAGGGCCCUGCCCCCCCCAGCUGGUUCAUGGACUAAGGUAAGUGGUCCCCUUGGUGCAGAGACCCAUGGCAGGAGGCACAUGGCUAUGAGCCAGGCCACAUCAGUGUCUGAUUCCCAGGAGGCUUCUUGCCCCCUUUUCGGAGAUGGUAGACUGGGGGGACUUCUGGAGGAACAGGUGUUGGUGUGGGUAGAUCAGCUCUUUCGUGAUUUCCUCUAUGACUGCAGCAGCAUUACUUUCUAUCCCCAGUCAGAAGUUAAGCUCUUAGGAACACAAGAACAGCCUUGCUGGAUCAGGCCCAAGGCUCACCCAGUUUAGCAUCCUGGGCCACCCACCAGAUGCCUCUGGGAUGUCCACAGGCAAGCGGUGAGGACAUGCCCUCCCUCCUGCUGUUGCUCCCCUGCAACUGGGAUUUAGAGGCAUCUUGCCUCUGAGGCUGGAGGUGGCCUAUGGCCCUCAGACUAGUCGCCAUGGAUAAACCUCUUUCCCCAUGGAUUUACUGGAGCUAAUAAAUAAAUCCCCAAAGAGGGAAAGGCACCCACCCACAAGGCUCAGGAGGAUUGCAUGGAACCCAGUUUGAACCCUAGUCCCAUGCAAUGUCCAUGCCCGCCUUAAGGCCUUUUGAAAGAAGGCUCAUGGCCACAGAAGCCAGCUGGAUCACGGCCCCGCAGGCCAAAACCCAAGAGCAGGGGCAGGCAGGCUUGGCUGUUGAACUCUGUGGAGUUUGGCUGUUGGUGAACUCACACUCCCCUCACCCCCCAGCCCCAACAAAGUGUAAUGGGGGUUGAUGGGAGGUGUAGGCGACAGCAGCCAGAGAGCCAAAGGCUUCUAGAGGUCCUUGCCUUGGAGGGAGGGAAGCUGCCACCAGCACUUUGGGGAGAAUGGGGAGGAUCCAGGGCUCAGUGGCAGAGCAGAAGAUCCUGGACCCAACCCCUGGCAUUGCUUGUUCAAGGAUUGCAUGUAGCAGGGCUGGGUUUGCAGUUGAAUGGGAGGCUACAUGUGUGAGCACUGUUAGAUAUUCUUUCCCCUUAGGGAAUAUCUGGGAAGAGCAUCUGAAGGUUCCAAGUU